rnacentral:rRNA from 1 species
UACGGGGGGGGCAAGCGUUGUUCGGAAUUACUGGGCGUAAAGGGCUCGUAGGCGGCCAACUAAGUCAGACGUGAAAUCCCUCGGCUUAACCGGGGAACUGCGUCUGAUACUGGAUGGCUUGAGUUCGGGAGAGGGGUGCGGAAUUCCAGGUGUAGCGGUGAAAUGCGUAGAUAUCUGGAGGAACACCGGUGGCGAAGGCGGCAUCCUGGACCGACACUGACGCUGAGGAGCGAAAGCCAGGGGAGCAAACGGG